UACAGAGGGUGCAAGCGUUGUCCGGAAUCACUGGGCGUAAAGGGCGCGUAGGUGGCCUGGUAAGUAGGGGGUGAAAUCUCGCGGCUCAACUGCGAGGCUGCCUCCUAAACUGUCAGGCUCGAGCAGAGUAGAGGCAGGUGGAAUUCCCGGUGUAGCGGUGGAAUGCGUAGAGAUCGGGAAGAACAUCGGUGGCGAAGGCGGCCUGCUGGGCUCUUGCUGACACUGAGGCGCGACAGCGUGGGGAGCAAACAGG
rnacentral:rRNA from 1 species